AUUCCAGGGGACAGGGAUGUGGUCUCUUGGUCCGGUGGGUUCUCUGCGUUCCGCACUGGGGUGAACAGCUCCAAGUCAAGAGUUCUAGAAAGUAUAGGUGUCUGUUCCCUGGCUGCACUGCUUCCUACGCAGGGCACAAGGGCAGAGCCCCUGCACAACUGGUGCAGGCUUCCACCCCACCACAGUGUGCUCUGCCAGGCUGCUGCUACCUGCCCAAGCCUGGUAGCUCAGCUCUACUUCCCUUCCCUUGCCUGCUGUCCUGGACUCCGCCCUGGGUGGAUUUGGUUGCUCUCCUCCCAAAUGGAUUAAUUCUUAGCGGUGUCAUCAAGCAGGACGACGUGCGUGGACUGCUACCAUGAGCUGCUGUGCGUCCGUAUCUUUUCUGCUCAGCGCUAAUGCAGAUGGACAGACACGCCAUGCAUGUUUGUCCAUGAACUCAUCCAGGCAGUGAGGACUGGGGCAGUUUCACCAGCCUCUGCCCAGAACCUUUUAAGAGACUCCUGGGAAGUGAGCUGAGUCACAUCUGCGCUCCCUGAUCACUCGGGUGGGUGGGGGAGACAAUGUAUAGUAACAAGAAAUGAAACACUCUGCUUCACGGGCUAGUGGUUUUCUAGUGGUUUUUUUUUUUUUUAAAGAACAGUGAAAGGACUCGUCUGAAGUUAUUCCGACACGGCCCCUAGUUGCUAGGGCCUAUAUAAAAAAGCAGCUCAAAUGGAAAGUGUCACCCAGGACAGCAUUGGGAGGAAAUGACACCAGGAGACCUUGUUUCAGUGAGAAAUCCCAGGCACAGGGCUGAUCCAGAAGCUGGUCUGGGUUCUGUUUCCCUGCGCAGCUGGGAGGAGACAGAAGCACUCUGGGCCUCCGUUGUUGGCAAAGUGAGUCACACUGGACAGGAGAGUCUGGAAGAAUGGCAGGCACAGCUUGCAAGCGCAUCUGGAGGUGGCUGGAGAGAAACAUGUACUCAUCCGAAGAGGGGACCCAUGACCGUGGUGUGCACAGUACAAGAGCUCGCUUGGGAUCUCUGAUAAAGGAAGUCCACCAUGCAGGGUUGAGCUGAACCACAGAAGCCCAGCCUGGGAGCAGGGCUCCAGGACUCCCCAAGGAUCAGAAACCUCAAUGAUAAAUUUCCGACUGGAUGAUACACACUACACCUGUUCUUCAGCGAUGAUGUAUGGUGUGUCUAACAUCUGCCUAUUAGCAGCUGAAUUCCCUUCUAUGACGUGAUACAUAAUGUAUGGUGUGACACAGCUGGGUAAUAAACAAUGUCAGCUGCGUCCUA
rnacentral:lncRNA from 1 species